rnacentral:rRNA from 1 species
GUUGCUAGUGGCGGACGGGUGAGUAACGCGUGGGUAACCUGCCUUAUACAGGGGGAUAACAACCAGAAAUGGUUGCUAAUACCGCAUAAGCGCACAGUACCGCAUGGUACAGUGUGAAAAACUCCGGUGGUGUGAGAUGGACCCGCGUCUGAUUAGCUAGUUGGCAGGGCAGCGGCCUACCAAGGCGACGAUCCAUAGCCGGCCUGAGAGGGUGAACGGCCACAUUGGGACUGAGACACGGCCCAGACUCC